GUUUUGGUUUUUUGUUUGUUUUUUUUUUUUUUGUUGGUUGGUUGGUUGGUUGGUUGUUUUUUUUGAGGUAUGUUAGAAUGUAAGAUGCUGGAAGUACAAAGAUGAGUUUCCAAAGCGGGGAGCACUGCUGCAUUGCUGGAAACCAAGGCUCUGUAGUGUCGAUAGGUGGUGCAAGUUUGCUGCGGCUUCUGGAAAGCUGGAGCAUUUUUCCAAAGUGUGCGUGUUAAGCUAGUAGUGGGAUGGGAGAAAGAAACGCUAUGCCAGCUGUUAAUAAAAGCUGAAUCUUAAAUACAACCACAAUGAAUAGUCUGGGCAAAUACCAAAACAGCAGAGGGAGAGGGCAGACAGUGAUGAGGCCCUAAGGGUGAUGACCAGGUGGGCAGGAGCCCCAAGUCUGCUGCCAGGGGGACCCCAGCCCAGCUGCUGUGACGGGUGAGCCUUCUGACGCAAAAUUCACUCCUGGAGAAAACAAGCUGCAGCAGGGAGGACAGUGAAGCAAUUAGACUGUUAGUCUCUAUGUUCUGCCUGGCAUUAAGUGGUUAUGACAGAAAAUGAAAACCUUGGUGAUGCUGAGCAGAAGUGACAAAGCCUCUGGUAUCAGCUAAAGGAGCUAUGACUGCUAAAAAAUAUAUAAAAAUAUCUAAACCAAAGCUGAGUGUCUAACAAGUUGUUGCACACUGAAUGUGCAAUUGCAUAGUUUGCUGAUCAGACUGUAAACAUGUCCUGCAAGGUUUGCAAAUGGUUGUGUUGCAGAUCUUGGAAAUCUGAUAUAAAGCAGCAAGGCAGAGGUUUGCAGGAGUGGGAGGCCACCAGGAAUUCCACUGCCAGUGGAGCUCUGUCCUGAUGUUUCCAGUGGUUAACUGUGGGGUUGUGGAGCCUAAAUUUAUUACAUGGAAAUAUUUUGUUCAGCUUUUCCUUCAGAAUAGAUGCCUAUGGAUUGCUGUUUGCGGGUCCAGCCAACAGGCAGAAUAAAUUAAUGCUCAGUUAUAAUGUAUGGGGACUGUGAAGUCGAGGAGAGAGAAACAUAAGUGGUACAGUCUGUCUGCAGGAGUAUUUUCUACAAGGGUUUGUUUCGAUGCCCUGUAGCUGGCAGUCAUCACAGAAUCAUAGAUUCAUUUUGGUUGGAAGAUCGUCACCUGUUAACACAACAAAGAGUGUGGUAUGUAAAAUCCUGAUCUGUACAGGUGUGUAUAUUUUUAUAUAUACAUAUACCAUAAAAUAAAAUAUUAAGUCUAAUUUUCAUCAUGGGUCAGAAAAGAUUUGAUUUCCUCUAACUGGUCUGUGUCACAAAUUUAUUAUUAUUUUAAAUGCUUUUCUCUCAUCUUGCUCACAGCUGUCCAGGGAGUGAUGAUUUCUCUUUGCUGCGGCUUUCAAGGUUUCUAACUGUCUCUGUUUCAUACUGAAACAAAACAAAACAAAGAAGUUUUUUAGUUUUUUGACUGUUUUCAUAAAAAUGGAAACAUCUGGUUUGGGUGUAAAAAUAGGUGCAUUCUCAAUGCAGUGCAUCCAAGAUGGAUGGGUGAAAAUGCUGCCUUAAGAUCUCUUGCUAAUAAUCCUUGAUUAAUGCAGUUAUACUGUUGUUAAAGGCUGUUGCUGGACAGGAUUAAGGAAGAAAGGCCUCUGAGAAGCAGGAUUGGUUGUGAGUUAUCUCCCUGUAUCUUUUAAUCUCUUGUGUGGUACAGCCUGAUGUUUUCAAGUUUUCCUUUUGAAAUGGGGGAUAGAAACAUAUUGCUGCUGUCUGGAACCUUUAAUCUUCAAAUGGAAAUAAGCUUUUCUUGCAGAAGUAGGCUGCUUUUUUUCAGGUGCUUUCAGAAAUGCUGAUGUUGUGCCUUGGUUGAUCUGGCUAAUUAAAAAUGAGCUCAUGUCAAUCAAAAUUGUUACUUUAAUGGCAGUGGCAAAAAUGCAAAGUACAGCUCUAGUGAAUCAGUGUUAGGGAGAAAUGUGCCUCAUUUCCUCUGUCUGAUUCACUCAGGAAGAAUUUAUGUUCUUAUUGUGAGUUGUGAUAUUCAGAGACCUUUCUGUUUGAAAUUUUACCCUUUUAAUCGCUGUUGGCUGCCCAGAUGACCAAUGUGAGUUUAUUCAAAAUAUUUCGUGACUUGCCCAAAGUUUAGGAAUGGCAUUGUGAGGCCUCUCUAUUUCUGCACCAAAUACGUUGGUUGUUGCAGUGAAAGAUAUUCUGAGUAGACUUAGAAGUACAUGCAAGAAAUGCUUAUAAAGAUACCAGGUGGUCCAUGUUUGCAGGUUAUAGGUGUGCAGCGUUAGGGUGGUGUCAGCUCUGGCUAGCAAGCCUGUUUUCAGCAAUGACACAAAUCCAAGCAAACCUGCCUUUAUGUGUGGAAUUUCUUAAAUGUUGGUACAAAGACUUCAGGUAACUUAAUGAUUAAUUAGACUCAAAAUAGCAAAUAUGACUGCCUAGCAGCAAAAAAUAAUUAUAUGCAAAUAAUGAAUUAAUUCAACUGGAGUUAACUCAAAAGACAUCAAAGCAGCUCAAGGAUUUUAAAAAAAAUUUCUUAUCCCCUCCGCCCCCCAAUGCAAGGAGCAAACCCUGACCUUCCUCAGAACAGCACCAUAGAGAGAGUCUCUGAGUCUCCCAUCUUUUCUGUAUUUGCUGACCCCCAGCAUCACUCUUUGUCACUUAAACUGUUCAAUGGCAGUGUCCCCCAAUUCAUGGCAGGGAUUGGACUGGAUGAGCUUUGAAGGUCCCUUCCAACCCUAACAAUUCUAUGAUUCUACCUUUUCCCAAGUGCCUGCUGUAGAAGUCAGUCUUCUCUAUUACUUAACUGUUCUUCAGAUUUAAUUUAACACAAACAUGGUGACACCAAUUUCCUUCAUGAGGUCCUACUUCAUUUAAAAAAAAGGUAGCUGUAACUUCAAGGGUCUAGAGACUCUGCGUCCUGCAAUUAAAGACAGAGAAUUACCUAUCUAUCCAGUUCUCUUCAACACAGAAGAUUUUUCUCAUGCAUAAUAACUUAAAUUGAAGAGCCAGGAUGAGAUUUGUUUAAUAUUUCACUUAUUUCCCUAAAUUCUGCAGUUUCCAUUAUAGUCCAGUCAAAUCCUACUUGCUUGGGGGUGGCAGGUAAAAUACUAUUUUUUUUUUUUUUUCAAAUCUAGGUAAACUUAUGUUUUUUCUUGUUUGAGUGGUAAAUGUAUCCAGCUGUUUUGCAAUGUUACCUGCUUCAGUUAGUUCACUUUCAGUUAGAAAUGAGUGUGUUGGCCUACUUCCAAAAGCAAAAUACAUUUCCCAAGACCUUGUGGAGAUUUUCCUUCCUAUGGAAGCCUGCAUCCUGACAUGUCGGAGGUGAACAAAAUAGACGUUUUAGAGGUAGUUUCAAAUAUUGAAAAUAAUUUCAGGACAUGCAGUGGUUAACAAUAUAUAAAUAAAAUUUUUUAUCCAGCAGAGGCCAAACAACUCUGUAGUAUUAGUAUAAAAAUUUACAAAGGGAUCUCAAAUAUCUGGAUGAUGCUCUUAGUCAUAUGGUUUAGUUUUUAGGUAGUCCUGUGACGAGCAGGGAGUUGGACUUGAUGAUUCUUAGCAGUCCCUUCCAACCUGAGAUAUUCUAUGAUUCGCCCCUUUUCCUCGUAGGAGUUUGCAGGGAUCUGUGAUGAAGAAAAGCUGAUAGAGAUCCUGCACUCAUUUACAGCAGAGCCUCUUGCCUUUCCAAGGUGGAGGCCUCAAAGAAAAGAAUCUGCCUAGGGUAUUCCAGUGCUCUUACACCCCUAAUUACAUUCUCAUGACUUAAUCAUAAGCUGCCUUUUGCUCAGGUCUGCUUGUAACAUCUUUUUUACUUCUGACGCAUGGGCUUUCCCUUUAAUGUAGCAGCUGUUCAGUUUCUGCCAGAGUGAUGGGAUUAAAAUACCCACAGACAAGCGGAGGUUCUUUCAAAUUCCUUUUGAAAUACACCUGGAAAUUGCAAAUUGGGUGCUCAGUUUGACUGCCUGCUCACCCCCGGGAAGAGCACAGGCAUGAGCUCCCUGCACAAACAGGCAAAUGGCACAGAUACGAAAUAGCCUUGGUGUUUAAAGACCUCUGCACUUCACAAUUCACUCCUGAAUUUUUUUUAUAGGCAGUCUCAUGAUAGCAUUUUUCCUUAGGGCUCAAGCUUCCAGUCUCAUGAUCACGCUGCUUUCAUUAAAUAAAAUUGGCCUGAAAGCAUAAGGGCGCUUAACCAGGUGACACAACUGGCUGGAAAACCACAAGACAAAGAUACAUAACCCCCCAUUUUAAACCUUUUUGGCUUGAGAGGCCGCAAUUUCUCUGGAGGAAACCAGGGUGAUAAUUUUGGCGUGCUAUUGGCAACUAUUCAAAGCUGGCUUUUAUUUUUAAGGUGGCACCUGACACCUGUUUUUACCUCUUUGGGAUAUAUUUCAGGGUGGAAAGGACUGUUUUGAAACGUCUUUUUGUUUUGUAUGGCUUUUACAUUUGAAAUAUUGUGUUUUUUCUUAGACUAGAAGAUGUGGAUUUUUAGCCAAGCUGUUUUGAACAUGGCUGUUGAUAUGGGCACUUUGGGGAGAGCGCACCUUGGUUAAAGAUCCCUCACUACCAGUGAAGGUGCAAUGAGCCUUUUGUAUUUUUCUGGUCAUAUCUCCAACUUGUAUGUGAUGAAGUAACUUUCCAUUUGGAUGAUGUGAACGCACGACUCACAAAUUAAAAUCUUGAGCAUCCUCCCUUCUUUGUUCCUUCCCAGGCUUGAUUUUUUUCAUAGUGAGAAGAAAAAAGAAUGCGUGAAAGUGGGCAAGAAAACAAACCAGCUCUGCCUAUAACAGCUCAAUGCUAGGAUGAAAAAUGCAUAAUAUAAGCACUCUUUAUUUCCCAGAGGUCCUGCAGCAAAGCUGAGAAAGAUCUGCCUUACCUUUCUAAGGAAAAAACCAAGAUUUACUGAAACACUGAAGAAUUUUUUUUUGUUAAAAAAAGAAUUUGAAUUGAGUUACAAAAAACAUAAUAUACAGGUUACCUUGAUCACCUGUUUAAUGAAAACUAAAGCAAAUCUGUGGACAAAGUAAAAGGCCAAGGUCUAGCCGAAACUUGGCAAUGAGUUUGGGAACUGGAAAACCUUGAGAACUGUAUAUUUGGAUCAUGCUGUCAUCCAGUGAUGAAAAAUCUCCAGAGUCACCUUCUCGACCCUUUGCUGUGUGUGAUACAUUUGUCAUUCUAGUGCAUGUUGUGACUUCACCUGGCUCAGAUUUAUGCAGAUAUAAACAUUAUAAUGAACAGGAAUUAGGCUGCAUCUGGCCGGCUGCCAGGGAGCUCACCGAUUGCUGGGGAGACGCCAGCCUUUAUGAAAAAAAGGAGUAUUCUUUCAAAUCACAAAAAUUAGCUUUGAUUGAGGGGAGAAUUAUGAAUAGCUGCAGUGCCUGCCACGGCCAAAUAAGUUUAUUCUGAAAUUGUUGCUUGGAUUGGCAAACCGCUCGACCAUUAGUUGAGAUUUUUUGGGCUUCAUUUUUCUGGGGUGUAGAGUGCUGCUGGUUGUGAACUGUGGAGCAAAUCCUUGUGGUCUGGAGGUUGUCUGUAAAUAUUCUAUAUUUCCUUGAGCUUCUCCCCUUCCCCACGUGUGAUAGUUUCUGCUGGGCUCAAUUUGCCCUCCUGUGGCUGAUGGCAGAUGUUCAAGAGGUCUGAUGGAUCCCUGUCAUCUGUGUCUUCUGGGGCUGGAGUCACCCACAGUUAUAUUCAUAAUUAUAUUAAUACCUUUCUUCUACUCAAAACAGCUCCUUGAUAGUUGUGCUCAGUAUUCAGUACUUUUAAGGGUAAACACCAAUGUCUUAUCAUUUAAUGAAGAGCUGUAAAGUCAUGAUUGGAAUUGUCAAUAUUAUUCUGAACGUAUCAAACUGGAGUAGAUAAUAGAUAUAAUUGGUUUAGGAUUUGUUUACUCACCCUGAAAUACAACCAAAUUCUUGUGAAGAGAAACCCACUGCCAGUUCUUCUUUCUCUGAGCCCAAAUGACUAUAACUUCAGACAGAAGAAUUCACAGAAACAAAAGCUUCCUUGGUAAGAGAUGAAGCAUUCAAAGUCACUUCUUGAAAUGUGUAUAAUUCUACCCUAAAAUAAUGUUAAUACUACUUCAGACACCUGUUGAUGUUGAUGUUGCCAAUUUGUUUUCAGUAGGUAAUAAAAUAUAUUAACAGGCUUAAGACUGGAAAACUGCUCAGUGAGUUGUUGCCUUCUUGGAGGCUACAGAGAUGAGUUGUGUCAGCAGGUAGGAUUUUUAAUGUGAAGAUAAGUAAAAUCUCAUGGUUUAAUGGUGAUGAAGAGAAAAUUACUGAAAUAAGGCAAGCUUAUGAUCUUUGCAUUUGACCCAACUGGGCUCAGCAGGUACUUGUUGGCUGUGUCUCCAGUUUCAGCUUGGUUCAAGGAUAUCAUUGGGAUAUUUCGAUUUCUAGGUGGGGGAACGAGAGGUCAGCAUGAACACAUAUAAAAUAAACCUUUAUUAAGAAAUAUGGUUUUAAAAUACUGUAAAUGGAUUAGUAAUUAACUGUUAUUUCAUUUAAGAUAGAUGAAAACUAAACAGCUUAGGUAAGGUAAGGGUUCUUAUUCUCUGGUAUGCCUGUAGUUCCCUGUAAAUCUCUUAACUGUAGGGUUUGUGGAGAGAAAAAAGUUAACAAUAAAGGAGAGCAAACUUCAAGCUGUAUGAAUUGCAACACUUUAAAAUAAAUGAAAGCAACCACUUAAGAUAAAUGCAAUAGACUAAAGAAAGCCAACUGGUAAUGUGAGGAAAAGCAGUUAUUAAAGCAAGUAGGAGCUCUUCCUUUCCCUGCUGUGCAAACGCUGCUACCCUGGGUAAGCUGAUUUAAUUUGGUGCCACCUGCUCGUUUCUCUGGCUGCGGUGCCAGCCAAGGGUGACUGUUUUCCAGGCAGAAGUCUGCUUUGUAGAGAUCUGAAGUUAGGUGAGAGUAAUCCCACCACAUAUGUCAUAUGUAUUAGAGUAAGAUUUUUAGUGGAUCCUUUUCUCCUAUUUCUGAGCUCUAAUUACUGUUGCAAGCAUCUGCUAUUGGUGAUGCAUCCUUCUGAAAAAAUGUGUUCUUGCAGUUCGCUGGGGAUGAAUUCUGAGAAAAGUUGGGAAUUUCUGUUCAAAACUUACCCAAAAUCAGGUGUUUGAUGUAUUUUGCGUGAAGUACUCAGAAUUUGGGGGUAAAAGCUAUUUUUUCCUGUUCUACUGUCAUUGUAGGUAAUCACUUUUUGUCCCUCCUACAGAUACAAUGUACUUGUUCUAUUGUUCAGCUCUGAAAAAAAUGGUCAUUAUAACUUCCUUGAGAGUGACAGUAACAAAAUCUCUCCAUUUAACGCUCUUCCAUAGAGAGAAUGCUGGGGCUUCUGCACCAUAUGGCUUUUUCAGCCAAGAAGUCCAGAUGCGGUAACUGGUGCAUUCAAAUGGUGAAGAAGCAGUUUCUUGGCUGUGGCAAUAAUGAUUGCACACGGCUUAACUGAAGAUGGGUGCUGUUCAUGGGAAGAUACGUCCCUGCCUGUAGCCAUGAGAUUUCCAAAGCAGGACUGGGACCCGAAUGUGAUUAUAAAGUUUCCAAAUGCAGUAUUUCAGCUGAUACCUAAGGACUGCUGGGUUUGCUGCUGCUGUUACUCCACGGGGAUUACUUACAGUUACCACAUUUUAUGAUCUCUAUUUGGGAAGAAAACUACCAAACCCUGGUCUGACCACCAUUUUGUCUUCUAACCUGAAAAAGCUGGUGCAAAAGAAAACAAGCUGCCUCUGCUUUGUCUCCUGUUUUCCUGGGGUCUCAGUGACAGAAAUCUGCUCCUUCAGUGGCAUGAGGCUACGGGCUUGUGUUCCUGAUCUGCAUCGGCUUGGGAUUGCUUAAGUUGAUCUCCAACCCUCCCACCACAGCAACGUAUCUUCCAGUGAGAGAUGGGAAUACGAUCAAUUAAAUCCUUCUAAAAGCCAUGAAGAACAGACUUGCUGCCCAAAGGUACCAGCUCGGUGACAGGCAGUGGAUUUUCUUUAGCACUUGUUCUAUGGCAUUUGCUUGGGGUUUAUAUACUUCAGGACCUGGUAUUAAGGAAAGGCUGAGAGGUUUAAAUAGGCCUUAAGUUUGCAAUACUGCUUAGUGUUGGGAAACAAGCAGAGACAACCCUUCACUGUUGGGAUGCUGCUUUAUGAAAGAUAUAGAACCUUUCUUGGUGGGUUUUACUGUUACUUUGAUCCAAUGCCUUCAAAUCACUGCCACUAGGCAGCAGUAAUGGGGAUCCCUAGAACAUGCAACAUUAACUGGCCAGCAUCUUUCCUCUACAUUACAUCAUUUUGAAAUGCUAAAAUUUGGGUUCUUAGUAGGAAAACAUUAUAUUUGCAACAGCAAGGCCUUAAUUCUCACACUCACAGGUAGCAGAGAUGCCACAAAGUUGUUUUCCCCCAAGCCAAGCUAGUGCAGCCUCCCCACGGGAGAUGUUCAAGGUCUAGGUCUAAACCUGGAGACAGUUGUUAGCAAUAAUUGGACUUACGGUAACAGAGCUUAAAUUAGAAGUGCAGAGAACAUGUGUCUUUUAAUUUACCCAGUCCCUGGACUAAUUUCCACAUUUUUUCUGGGGUGGAAACCACCAAGCUCGGUACACACUGCGGCUCCUCCUCUUCUGGCUUGGACAGUAAUUUUGGGAGAACAAUAAGCAGAAAGGUGGGGGCUUCCUUUCUGGGGGAAGCGUCUGUGCACUAAACAGGCAUGCCACCUUUUAAAAAUCAAGUACUAAUCUGUUGUUUUGGGUUUGUUUAAAUAGAAAAAACCCCAGCAACCCAAGGAGCAGAGUUAAUGCCUGACAGCUGUAACUCCCAGCAGAGUAGUUUAGCCUCAGGAGCUGGUGAUGUGCCCAACCUGUUCUCUCUCCUUUCUUCCCUCAGUACAUUGUGGAGGUCUGUCUUUUUUUUUUUUUUUUUUUAAUAUCUAUAUAUAUCUAUAUGUAUCUAUAUAUCUGUCUUUUAAAGAUGAAAAGGUCACGUCCCGUGUUUAGUUAAAGCUCACUCUGUGUUCUGUCCAGACCAUUGCUUAAAAAGGGGAAAAUAUGCAAACUGCUGCUAUCACUGGGCAGACUCCCAGGAAGAUGAGUUUUUAGCUUGAGCUUUGAGCUGAAUUUUUAGCUUAUCCCUUGAAUGGGCCAGAGCAGCCUGCGGAGCAAAGCGGGAUGUGAGGCUUAGUGCGACAGGGAGCGGCAUUGCUGCCCUUCUCCAACUUCUGAAGGUGGUGCCAGGGUGGUUUUAGAGGCACUGCUAAGAGUUAGAAAUACAGGUUCUUUCCUCAAGUUUGCUAAGAGUUUGCUUGAAGAGGGACCUUUCUUCAAGUUUGCUUAAAAACAAAACCAAACAAAUCAGCAAAACAACUCUUUCCUCACAUGUGCUAAGGGUUAGUAAAAGGUGGCUCUUGCGGAGAAUAAAAGGUUGUACUUUUCCCACAUUUGCCAAGAAUUAGAAGGUGGCUCUUUCCCCAAGUUACUACGAGUUAGCAAAACAAGGUCUCUGUUCUCAGGCUUGCUGAGAGUUAGUAAAAGACAGCUCUUUCUCCAAGUUUGCCAAGAGUAAAAGAGGGCUCCUUCCUCAAAAAAGUUUUGAAGAAAGUUCUUCUCUGAAGUUUGCUAAGUUGCCAAAAAGAAGUCUCUUUCUCACAAUUUGCUAGAAGUUAGUAAAAAGCUCUUUUUCCAAGUUUGCUAAGAGUUGGUAAAAGGCUCUUUGCUAAGAAUAAUAUUUGCCAGGAGUUAGAAGUGGGUUCUUCCCUCAAGUUUAGGAGUAAGCUCAGGGGGUGUGGGAGCCUGGGUAGGGGGGAUGUGGGGUGCAAGGGUGGUGUUGGGGCCUCUCACCUGGAAGAUGAGCACCUUGAAGCGAUCCCGCCGGAGCAGCUGGGCGUGAUGCUGCUCCAGGCGUCGCACCUGGUCGCAUUGCCUCUCCAGCCGCUCCCGGACGGCGCGGGUGUGAGCGCAAACCUUCCGCGACUUCUCCAGCAGCUUCUCCACCGCUUCCCCCGUCGCCCCGUGACUUCUGCACAGUUUCCCCAAAUCCCCCUGAAUACCCCGCACCGCCCCUUCUAAACCCCGUUGCCUUUGCUCCAUCUGUCUCUGCUGCCCUUCCACCGCUUCCAACAUCGAGACCAGUUUCUCCAGUAAAGCCAAAACGGUCAAAGCGUUCACUUGCCCCCCGACCGCCUCCGACGGUGGGAGCGGAGGGACCGCGCUGCCUCCCGCCGCCUCCCCCAUGGCUGCGCCGGGAUGGGGACGGCGGAUGCCGGGGCCGCUCUUAAGGGCUAAGCCUUCCCCUUCCCUGGGGGAGGUUUUAAGCUGAGCUUUCCUCCUCCCCCGGGGGAGGUUUUGAGUCUGAGCUCAGCCCCGGUCCCGGCCCGCCCCGGGCGGCUUCCAGCCGCCCGGGGCCGGGCUCUCGGUGCCUCCUCCCCAUCCCACGUCCCCCUCCCUUUCGUUUUAAAACUAAAGGGUGUAUUCUCACCCCACACUUAGCAAAAUGCAGAAUUGGCCUCUCCUCGCAAGCAUCAGCUGCAACUUCUCUUCCUCAAGUUGCAAGAGCUUGAAAAAUGCGUUUGCCCUGGUCUGGUCAUGGUCCUGGCUGCUGGACAAGCUGGCUUUCCAGCCUGUCUCUGGUUUGCACUUUGGAGCCUGUCUUCCUGAACCUUUCUGCAUCAACCUUCUACUAUGUGUGGUACAUUUGCAUGGUGGAGAAGAUCUACAUAAUCACUCUCCUGACUCCUCUUGUGGGCCUUCUGCAAAGGUUCUUUUUUCAAGGAAAGUUUAAGAGAGCAGCUUUCUUGGAAAGGAUGAGGAUGGUCUGCAAAGAGUGGCAGAGUAUUCUCAUGUUGCUCCAUGGAGACUGCUCGAGGUCACCACUAGCAUGCCCGUGUUAAGGCAGGGGAAGAAAGAAGGAGAAAAAGACCUAAACACAAACCCCAGACUUCAAGCAUAUGGGUUUGGACCCAGAUUACCCAUUACUGCAGCCGUCAUCCCAGUGUUCUCCAGUUGGAAGCAGAAGGAUGUUGUGCUGAUGGGGCUUGGUCUAAGCUCGGUUGUACGGAAGCAGCGCCAGUUCCGCCGCAGGUGUUCUCAGGAAGAGAAUUCGGGUUUGGGGUGGUCUGGAAGAACCAUUCCUGAGCGGCACCGUGACCCCCUCCCUCCCUUCGCCCCGUUCUCCAUUCCGCUGAGUGCUUUGCUCAUGACUCAGCUUGCUGCUCCGGGACAUCGUUAUUGCAUUCUUUCUCAAUUAAUGAAGAAAAAAAAGUAAUUUCCUUUUUCUCCAAAUCUAAAUAAAAAGUAAAUUCAAGUUUUUGUAAGGAGAGGAGUUACCAUCAAGCCAACACUAUUUAUCAACAAAGCACCCAGAACAGAAAGUUGCAUGACAGUACAAUGACUGCAAACAUUUAAUGAAGUAUCCAUUUCAACUUUACACAUCAAAAUUAUUGUGAAACAUCACACUGGCAUGAAAAUACAAAAUUUUCUACCUCAGAGUUUAAUAUUCUCCAUUUCAUCCAAAGAGAAUUUUCAACACAGGAACAAAACCAGUGUAGCUUUGCUUCCAAUGUCCUACCGCUCCGCUUCAGAAGGGUUGAUGGUUCCUGCUUCUCAGACGCGCUCUUCAUACCCACUGGAUGCUUAGAUUCCUGCAAAAAAGAAUAUCCAUCUGUAACAGCUGGUGAUAUUUGGUAGCACUUAUAUACACAGAUAAUAUUAAGCGUUCUCGUGAGGCUGCCUUGUCCUCUAUAAGAAACGAGCCACAAAUAUCCAGAGUUUUCCCCUGGCCUUCCAGCACUCCAUUUCCCCCUUGUUUCAGAUCUGUGUGAAAGAAAAUCUCUCAUUAUCCAUCCUUAUUCUGGGGCAAUUUUCUAUUCUCACUCUUCGUAAAAUGUGAAUUAGCAGCCUAUUGCUGUAUUUUACACUCUUUGCUUUUUCCUGGCUUAAUAAGAAACACGGGUCCUGAAACCUGCGUUGUGUCCCUAACACACAUUAGUACAAAGGGUAUCAUAACUCAAGAUAGAUUUUUUUUAAUUUUUACUACAUCUACUGAACUACCAUAAUUACCACUGACACAAUCUGCAGUAAAUGAAAUAAAAACAUCUAAAAUAAGCUAAAUACAUGUCUGGCCACAGAUGCUCAAGUAGAUACUCAGAAUUCUUUAAGAAAUGGCUCAUUUCUAAAGCCAAAUGGUAUAUCCUGGACCAUAUAAGAGAUCAGGGAUAAUCAGUAUCCAGCACACAUUCAGGUCUCUUUUGAACAUUAGAUAUAUCCCAGAGGAUAUUUAAGGUGAAUUUCCAGCUACUAAAUAAUUAAAUAUGGUUUCUUUAGGCCGCUCUGAAAAGGCAGAGGCUUCAUUUGGCAACAGCAUUUUCAGAGAGAAAAUUGGAAUGUUGCUUCACCCCUGUUUUGCAGCUCCCAAAUCACAGACUCAGCAGAAGCUGUGGCCGACAUCCGUGUACAUCGAGCAGUUCAGGAGACGCUUAUUUACAGAUGACCCUUUUUUAAAAACUUUUCUCUUUUUGGACCUUUCCACAGGGCAGAUUACAGUCUCUUCAUUACAGCCUUAAGGCCUACAGCUUCACAAGCCAAGCAAGUAACCCCACUAUAAAACUAGCUGUUAUUAUGUCUGUACUCCCAUUAGUUAUGUGCAAUUCUCUCACCCCUGUGAUUUUUCUCAAAAAGAGUUUAGAGGGGAAACGACUCUGCAAGUUUUAGACUGCAGAGGAUUCAAAACCUUUUUGACUCCAAGGAAAUGUGCAGACAGAUGGACAAUCCGGCCAAACUCUUUGCUGUCUAUCAAAACUGCAGACACUGACCUCUGUAAACACCUUGCAAACAGCCAUACACCUAUUAAAAAAAUAGAUGGGCAGGCCUGGCCGAGGCAUGGUGCCAACUUUGAAGUGCGGUAAUGAACUUUGCUUUUAAUUCAGGCGUGUAACUUCCAGCCCAGCGCAAAACUGGGAGCAGCUGCAUGCAUAAUAAGGGGUGAGAGCAAGAAUGCGGCGCAAGAUGCGUCUGAUGUUGGAUGAGAGCGAAGAUAGCCUUUAAUCAUUUUGUUUUCAAAGAAACUUGAGAGAACUCUUUGAAGAUGAGUUUUUUUUUUCCUUUUCCCUUUUUUUUUAUUUUUUGAGAGCUGCUUCUGGAAAAUAGGCGGCAGUGAUACACGGUACCCACCUUCUGCCCACGUCCGUCCGCCCCCUUGGUUAACCCGCGCGUGGGACAUACACACGUGUCCCUCUAGACUGGCACCUGAUGUUGGCAAAGCUGAGCUUAUCUUGUGCUGCCCAGGCAGCUGAGAUGCCCAAUGGCUCCAGCAGCAAGGACAAAACUGCCGCAGUGUCUUUUCAUUUGAAGUAAUCGUGGUUCUUCAGUGCACAGGGGAAUAGGAUGUCCAGUAGCUAGAACAGGAUGUCCAGUCUCUAUUAACUAUAGUAUUUUUGUAAUGAUAAAUGUUCUGUAAAUCAUGUCUUACUAUUAUUGGAUGAAAAGGAACAAUAAUGAAUAUUUGAUCAGCCUUUAUUUUAAGGAAAGUGUGGGCUGAGAUUGGGCACAGUGGACUUGUUCACCUGCACCUGAAGACUCUGAGGGGCUGAACAUCAUCUGGACAUCAGCACUGAGUAUAUGCCAAUGGCUUUGAGGACCAAGGAACAAAUGCUACACUUGUCCUCCAGCCAGGCAGUGCAACACAGGGACUGAAAUAUAGCAGAGAUUUUAUUUCUACAGUGCUAUGAUGCCUGGCUUCUAUUUUUUUAGUAUAUUAAAAAGAAAUUAAUUUAAAAAAGAGUGAUGUGAUUUAUCAGUGUUGCUAACUGAAUAAAUUUAACCUUGUGAUUUCUGAGGGAAGACUGCAGACAUCCUGAAUUCAGAACUUACACCAAGCCCUCCCAGAGAGGAGGAAGCAGAGCAGCAGGUGUAGGAGGGGAAGGACUGCAUUUACCCCUUUGGUUCUGAACUACCUUGGGGCUGUCCCUUCCAUGCAAACAAGCCCUUCUCCCUCAAUUAAAGAAAAAAAGAAAUAAAUACUAUAUGGAUUGGAGUGCCACCAUCUAGUGAAGACCAUAAUUGGCCCCCCCAAAAGAGCACUGGUGCCUCCUUCUCAGAGGGAAAAUUUCAGGUCCUCAGCACCACCAAGGUCUGCGAGAGUGAAUGACACUGUGGAAGUGCCAGGAGGUGCCAAGAGGACUGGGACUUAUCUAUUACAGCAUCAAGUGGAACUACUUGCACGUUGUGGUGAAGGGAUCAUUAAACCAGCAACACAGGAUAAGGUGAAAUGAUGGAAAGAACACAUUUUAUAAAAGAAAGGAAAAUCAGAAGAAAAAAGAUGUAGAAGAUGUUGUUUAUAAGAGGGGGUUUGCACCUUGAAACAGGUAGGUCAAUGUAGAUUCAAAGCCUUGCAAGGUUUUCUGUCGUCCUGUUGCAUAUCUAAUUCCUGGCAAGUAGCAGCAAAUGAGGCACCAAAAAAAGAAUUUGUCUGUUCAAAAACUGAUUACAGAAUAGCACAUAAAAAUGCCUGAUCAUUUCCGCUAUCCUUCUCGAUGGUCUCCUCACUCCCAGGCAAGACUAGGACAAAGAAACUAGGCAUUUGCAUGUAAUCUACCAUCACAAUUAUAUGUGGUUAUUCAAUACAACAUGUUCAGAAAGACAAUUUUAUGGCUGAAGCAGAGGAGCAGGAGACCAGAGCUGAAGAUUAGCAGCAGUGCUGAACGCCUGUGUCCCAGUGCCUGCUGGCCUCCUCCCCAUCCCACAGCACGGGUACCUUCAGACUAUUAUAAUUUGACUUUCGGUGCUACUUCUGCAGCUGUUAAACAGUCACUGAGACCUGAAUCCUGGAAAAUACUUCCUUCCACGUGGCCAGGAAAACGGGGGUUUUGUUAGGUUUCGAAACAGGUAUGUGCUCGACUUUUAUAUCACAGGCUGAAAUGCAGAACAUUACUUGUGAUAAACUCACACAAAUUUUGUAGGCCACCAAUGUGUUAAUUCAUCUCGGUAAUUUUGGCGAAUUCUUCCAUUUAACCAAUACUUAUGAUAUCUCAAAUUAUAAAAAUCCUUUUUCUGUGAUAGCAUUAUCAAGGCACAAUUAAUUAAAAACAGAAGACAAAAAUCUCAUGAUAGAUGGCUGAGGAAACGUAGUUUGCACACAAAUAAGUUGAAGCAUUUGUACCUUCCAAAGGAAGUCCCUGAGCAUUAUGAAACAACUGCAGUUUGUGUUCUGUCUCCAAGCCAGUCGUGCCGGCAGCAGGUACGCUUAGGUAUUAUCCCACCUUUGGGAAAAAGUGUGUGCGCAGCAGCUCCAAGAUUGAAAUUUUCAUAAUGAUUUCCUUCCUAUCGCUGCUGUCCAAGGAGAGUUUCAAGAGUCUCCAACAACUUGCACUAAUAAUGUUGGUUAUAUUAUCUUUAGUUUAAAACAGACAAAGACAAGCUCCCAGCAAAUGAGAAAGACAGGACAACCUCUAACUACAUAUACACAAGAGUUACCAUCCCACCAGAUCUUCAAGUAUGUUCCUUUUUUCCACCAGGAAUUCUUCCCAGAACAGAAAAAAUGUGUGUGACGUCUGCCAGCUACCAGUGGGCUUGCCCAGGGCACCCAGGUAGAUCCUGAUGUGCUCGGGAUUUGUUGCACUUCGUACACGCGCAGUGAUCAUCUGUGAGCCAUGCCCAGUGGCUCCUGGGCAUGCUGGACCUCUGCUAUGGUCCAAGAAACUGCAGCAAGAAAUAUGGGAUCCUUAUUAAUACGAAUUUUUUUUUUCCCUAUGGUGGAAAAUACUCUGCCAUUUCCUCCAAAACUUCCAUUACCAAGAGGAAGUUUUCUUGGUGUGUGUAUCUUCUUCUCAGGUAUCAAGACAUCUCUGCGAUGUCUGCGCACCACCACCCCCCAGCAUGAGAAUCCCUCCUCUCUCAGAUGAGCCAUCAGUGUUUCUAAAAUGGUAAGAUACCAUUUGGUGUCUUUUUUAUAAAGGCGUGCUUCAAGAUGGUGAGGAAAAUUGUUACCUUCUGGACAGACUAAUCCACUAGGACUUGCAAGGGGGACAAGGACCUCUCCCAGACUUGCAGAUGCUCUUGCUGUGUGUAGGCUGUAGGGCUGGUAAAAAGAGGAAUGAUUUUUUCCUCCUCCUGCAAUCGUGUGGGUAGAAACCAUGUUUGCUUCAAAAAGGUCUCCAGCAUACUUUAAAGGAUCCUGCAGAACUUGUAAUUACACUUCUAAGUGCGAUGUUAUGAUGAAAAGUGCUUUACUGAAUCAAAAAUGAGAUGGCCCAACCUUUGCAAGCACUUCAUAGGGGAAACAUCAUCUGGCUUGGAAGAAACCACAGAACUUAGACAAGGAAUUGUCUGUAGUCACUCACUUUGACUGAUGACUCCUCUAAAAGAGUCAGGGAUUGAGCAUAAAGGCAGAAAGGGGGAAAAACCUUGUGUUUAGUUCAAUUUGUCGUUUUAAAGACAGACCACAAUGAAAGCAUCAUUUACUUCAGGCACAUUUUGAAUCCACCCAAAAGAAUUCCGCUGCCUCGAAACAGAUUAGUUUUCUCAUUGCACAAAACAUCUUUUCAGAUUCAAAACAGAAACCCAAACACCAAGAUGUGCUUUAAAAUUUCCUCAAGUUAAAACUGACUGCUCUCAUUCCUGAAGGAUCUGAGCACUUUUCAGUAAUCCAGCCAUCGGUGAGAUAGGGUCAUGAAUGCACCCCAGGGCUUACAUCACUCUGAAACAAGAACUAUAAAUCUUUUCUAAAAAGAGAGGAUAUGAAUAAAAAAACAUGUUUAAAUUAUGAAUGAAAUAAGAACUGUACAAAGUUCAACAAAGUAAAACCAAAUGAAAUUAAGACUUUCCUCCUAUUGUAUUUUUUGAUUAUUUAUAAAUUAAAUAGUGGAGACAAUUGUCACUAAUCGAUUUAUACUAACACCAAACUAGGGAGCCCCUCUACCACACCAACCUUAUAUAUAAACAAAACAAAGCUUAAAUACAAAGUCACUAACUUUUUUACAAGCACAGGAGACUCGUAUUCAUAGAGCAAAAAUACAGACCGAAUUCCAAGACAGUCAGGAUUUGGUUAAGUUAAAUUCAGUAACUCCUCUUUGAACAUUAGACUUGCUGCACUGUUAUUGGCAACUAUGUGUGAGAGUUUUAUUUGCACCAAAAAGAAAGGUUUGUACCUUUUUGUGGUGGCUAGAAUUUGAGACAGAAGCUGUAAAAACUAAAGAUUAAAAUUAGACUAACUGGGUCAGUCUCUCCUAUCUCUGGAGAAAUGCAAUUCCUGCUGCAUUUCUCCAAAUGCUUCUCCUUUUUAUUGUAAAAAGAAAUACACCCUCACCCUUCAGAUCAACUGUAUCCUUUUAUCUUGAAGCAUUUUUCUGAUAGAAAAACGUCACUUUGAUGAAGCCGACAUCUUUUGCAUUUCUGCAAGAUUUUUUGCAUCUUUAGCCUAACAUGACAUUUCAUACUGUUCACAUCUUUUGUUAGUGCCAGAACAUGACAUGAUAGCCUAUCAUAUAAGAUACACUAGUCAAAACAGAUUAUUUUUAAAUGCAUUGAGGCCAGAUGCUACUUUGUGUAGACUGAAACAGCUUAUCGUCUUGCUUACUAGAAGACUCAGAGUUGAACACUUGCUCUCCAGCCUUUCAGUGAGACGCUGAGACGAUGAGCUAUUUCACUGAAGUAAGAAAUUGGAUACUGAAAAUCAUCCAGUGUGACUGACCACCCACUCAGGGAUCGUGCUUUUCCUGAUGCACUAUCUUCUGACAUGUUAAAUCAAUUAUUUAAAACUAUCUUGUCUAAAUUCCUUAAUAUCUAUGGCUGUUCCUAUCCUCCCUUAAGAAGCAGUGGAAGAAGUAUAUUUUGUAUUCUUUUAAUUUCUGGUUUAGUGACAUGUCUUUCCUUCAGUUUUUGGGUGCUGAAUGUGCACCAUUAGAAAUCUCAGGUAAAUAUCUCAGUGAAGGCUGAAAUUCCAAAGCCGAAACAGGACCUGACUCUGCAAGCGAUGCAAACGGAUUCUUCUCUGGGCAGCCCUCACCGGUCCCCAGCUCCCAUCAGAGCGAGUGCGGAGCUUCUGGAACACAACUGAACAUGUGGAGUAGCUCUGCUGACAAACAAGUAAAUUCAUUAGUGCCCUUGAUGAGGAUUAUAUGAAGUACUGCCUGGAGUGCCCAGAAAAUUCUUUCCAGACAUAAGUUCCUGCAGUCUCCUCUGGGGAAAUUAGAUGAAAAUCUAGGCAAAAUUAGGAUUCUUAUGUCCAAAAAAUUGACUGCCAGGCACUUAACCAUCAGUUCUGUUGGGCUGAUAAUUCUGUUGUUCUUUAUGUUUGAAGCAGUGAGACUUUGUAGGUGCUUUCAGGCAAGCAAAGCAGAGGGUCACAACCUGUAAAUUUGCAUGUUUACAUUUUCACUGUUGUACAGUGUGCAAUGUUGGAGCUUAUGGAAAUAAUAACUGCCCAUAUGAGAAAAUAUUGGCUAACGUACACUGUUAAUACCUUGUGUACAUCAUGAUGGACUGAGGGAGGUCCUGCAAAUACAUAUAUAUACACAUAUAUUUCAUCAAAUAAGGGAUGGGAUGGUGAGCGAUGCGCAGCAAAAGCUAUUUUGACACCUGUCUCAUUGGAAACAGUGGUUAAGGAGAAUUGACUUGGAUCAUAAUUUAAUCUUUUACACCACUGAGGUCAGUCAACUUUGCAGCUGAAAGCUCUCACUAAUAUUGAGGUAGUGACUCCUUACACAUCACAUUUUCCGAGGUUUUCUGAAGGAGGAAAGGCAUUCUUGGGUCAAACGUAUUUCCUUAACCUUCUCAACCCCUUUUGGAAAUGUGUCCUCCUCACUCCUUGCACCUCCUUGGCAGCUGUCCCAAAGAGCUCCUGCAGAGCAUCGCAUUGGGAACUUAACAAAGCUCUUCUGCGUGAUAGACUCUUGGUGCAGCAAUUCUCAUCUGAAAUCAAAAUAAAGGUCCAGAAGGUAUCAACCUGUGCAGCAAAGGUAGAGGAUGCCCUGAAGUUUUGUGGAUGACCAGGGGUGGAAAUCUGAGUCCUGUGGAUGACCCUAGGCAGAGUCUGCUUUCCUCGUCUGUGGUCUUCACAGGGUCAGCAACUGCUGCUCCUUUGGGGAAAAGAGAGCUUCCUCAGCACAGCAACGUUUGCAACAUCUGCAGAGGUUUUAAAGUCCCUUUGCAAAGUCAGGAGGAAUGGGGUGGUCAGAGUGUUGCUCCCCCUGAAAGUGCAGAAUUGCUUCAGCAGGUUUUCCGGUACUUACUCUUCUCUAAUAGCAUCUAACAAGAAUUGAGGUGCCACAGCAACUUCUGAGGAUGAAGCCCUUCGGCAGGCUUUCUGCUUACUCAUAAUGAAGAGUAAGUCUUUGCUCAAAUGCUCCAGACACCCUCGACAAAGUUGCUGUCCACCACCACAGCCAUACCUCACCAUUAACAGGUGCUCAGAUAUGUCCUAUUAAUUAUCUUGGCACAGCAUGUUCUCUUUGAAAACCUUUAAAACCUUGCUCUUGAUCUUACGAAUAUAGAGUGUCUCUUUCCAAUGAAGAAAAUGUGCAAAAGGCAACUCGCCUGAACAUCCCUGUUGGGGUGGGUGUUGGAGUGGGACCUCAGCAGGAAGAGCUUGGAGCCCACCAGCCCAACGAGUGAGUGGAAGCGAGACACCAAAUGUCAGCUGAAAACGUCUGGCACCACCAUCCUGCAGCCCCAGGCUAAAUUCAUCCCACGGCCACACCAAGUACAAACUUCAAGCUCAUCUUUCUAUAUAAACUGCACCAAAAAAAAUACCAUCCCAAUAUUAGCUACUUCACCAAGAGAAAAAAAAUGAAACAGAACUUUGUGAAUUAAAUUACGUUCACUUCUUUUCUCAGGCGCAAAAUAGGCUUGCUCAACACAGUAAUUUAUUAAUUUCAAAUGUCCCUAUGCAAAUGAGUUUCCUGGAAUAAGAUGACACCCACUUUCCUUUUUUUAAAAAUAAUCUAGUGCUUUUCAUGUUUGAGAUGAUGGCAAGAUGUCCUUGUGCAUUUGGAAAAAAAAUAUUGUGCUCUGUCUUUUGCAGCAAUGUAUCGUAAUUAUUCAGCCUGCUGCCAUUAUUAAUAAUAGAAACCAAUGAAUUAAGACACUAAUAAUCCCCAGAUGUUCAAAUGGAGAAAAAAAUACUUUCAGCUUGUCAGCAUAUAUAUGUGGGCUAUGCUAUAUAUGUUAAAACUAUCUCUGAACUUUUGAAAUAGAGACCUACUUUCAUUUACAACAUCUAUGGACAUAUCUUCCUUAUUUGAGAAAACUGCUUGAAAUUAGACAACUUGGUAAUCAUUUUCCUGCACAUAACAAGACCAUUUGUCUACACAAAACUAAAUGUAGUUUGGUUUUUUUUAACCCUCAUUUGCUUUUCCUUUGGCCAUAUUCCACCUGUAUUCACUGGCACAGAUGCUACCAGGUAGCUACUGCAAUACAAAGUAAAAUACAACCCCAAAACAGCACAGAGAUACAAGUACACACCAGCACCAAUUGCUCAUGCAUCUGAACAUGAAAGCCCGGCAAUAUUAGCCAGGCUGAAAAAGAAAAUAAAUGCCAUGUGGGCUAAAGUCUUGCUUCAA